rnacentral:rRNA from 1 species
GACAGAGGAUGCAAACGUUGCUCGGAAUUACUGGGCGUAAAGCGCGUGUAGGCGGUUUCGCAAGUCAGGUGUGAAAGCCCAAGGCUCAACCUUGGAAGUGCACUUGAUACUACGGAGCUUGAGUACUGAAGAGGAGAAGCGGAAUUCCCGGUGUAGAGGUGAAAAUUCGUAGAUAUCGGGAGGAACACCAGUGGCGAAGGCGGCUCUCUGGGCAGAUACUGAACGCUGAGACGCAAAAGCAUGGGGAGCAAACAGG